GGAGUAUGGCUUAGUGGUACAGCAUCUGUCUUGAACACAGAAGGUGCCAGGUUCAAUCCCUGGCAUCUCCA